rnacentral:lncRNA from 1 species
AAGAAAUCGUCUGUUUGAAAGUAUGAUCCCAGAGUGACUAAGCAGACUAUAGAAUGAGAAGAGAAAGGGGCCUAGGACUGAGCCUUAGGAACCAACACUUAGAUCCAGUUAGAGGGAAGAGAGGAUGAACCUGCAAGGAACAGAGGAAAGGAAUGACUAGAGAAGUGGUGAGGAAAUUAGAAGUGUGAGGCAUUGGCCUUACGUGGAACCAGCCAGAUUGGAAAGGACAGAAGGGUAAGUUAGAGAAACUUGCUUAAGCAGGUACAGUAUAAGGCUUUCUAGUAGUAAAGGGAAGCAGGAAGAAAGAGGAGUCAAGGUUAUAACAUGAAGGACUCUAGGAAAAGUGCUAGCAGUAGAAAUGGGGUCCAAAGAGAAGUCACUGGUAAGUAGGCCUUCGCAAUUCACCCCCCACCCAGUUCUUCUCCCUUCACCCUCCUUCGUCUUCAACAUUAGCACACCUAACUAUUCUGUGAGAGGACAAUGUACAGGUCAUUCAGCUCCCACUGCAAGGUUUCUAAGAAGCACUAGGUAUCCCAGUCAAUUUUAGACAUCUCUAUUCCUUACAUUUGAAAAAAUGGAUUCCCUUCUCUUGACUACUCAGAUAACAUCUUUCAAUAAUAGUUUUUCAAAUGUUUGAAAUCAGCUAUCUUGUUCGCCCCUUGUUUUUCCUAUUAUAACACACACCCCUUGAGUUCCACUUUUUAAAAGCCAAUCUGUUACACUAGUUCAUGCUAAAAACAAACAAAAAACAGGCUGGGUUGUUGGUUCAUGCCUGUAAUCCCAGCAAUUCUGGAGGCUGAGGCAUGAUAAUUGCAGUUCAAAGCCAGCCUCAGCAACUUAGUGAAACCCUGUCUCAAAAUAAAAUUAAGGGCUGGGGUUGUAGCACAGUGGUAGAGUGCUUGCCUAGCAUGUGUGAGGCACUGGGUUCAAUCCUCAACACCACAUAAAAAUAAAUAAAAUAAAGAUCUAUCAACAACAACAAAAAAUAAU